CGAACGGGUGAGUAACGCGUGAGGAACCUGCCUCAAAGAGGGGACGAACAGUUGGAAACGACUGCUAAUACCGCAUAAGCCCACGACCCGGCAUCGGGUAGAGGGAAAAGGAGCAAUCCGCUUUGAGAUGGCCUCGCGUCCGAUUAGCUAGUUGGUGAGGUAACGGCCCACCAAGGCGACGAUCGGUAGCCGGACUGAGAGGUUGAACGGCCACAUUGGGACUGAGACACGGCCCAG
rnacentral:rRNA from 1 species